AUUAAUAUGAAUAGAUUCAAUGAAGUGCUAUAAUAUUACACUUUGUCAGAGACUUGCACAUUUUCCAAAGCCUCAUUUCUUAUGCCGAAAACAGAGAGUCUCCCAAUGAAAAU
rnacentral:snoRNA from 1 species